AAUAGAUGUUCCAUGAAAAAUGUCUGCUACCUGAUUGUGAAGUUUUUCCCUUCACAUGUUGCUUUCAGGCUAAAAUGAGCCAUGUGUUUUUCAUCUCCAGGCUUUGAUUAUUUCUACUCAUGCUAUGUCAGAGUGGAUUUCCUGAGAAGGUUCUGGUCAGUAAGAAGUAUUCCUACAAUUGCAGGGCACAGCAUUGAGUGCCCAAGAUCUAUCCUAGAAGCCUAGUAUGGAUCACAACAGAAGAAGCAGAGUUUUCAAUGCUAGCAGAUGUAUGAAGGAAAAGGGAAAUUAGAUGAAAAUAAAGUUCAAGAUAUUUUACA
rnacentral:lncRNA from 1 species